rnacentral:rRNA from 1 species
AGGAUAAACGCUGGCGGCGUGCCUAACACAUGCAAGUCGAACGCGCUUUCGGGCUUCGGUGCGAGAGCGAGUGGCGGACGGGUGAGUAACACAUGGGUACCUACCUUGGAGUGAGGGAUACCGGCGAGAAAUCGCCGACAAUACCGCAUAGGCUUCUUCACAAGGGAAGCAAAGUGACGCGAGUCACGCUUUGAGAUGGGCCUGUGGCCGAUUAGCUAGUUGGGGGGGUAACGGCUUCCCAAGGCGACGAUCGGUAGCUGGUCUGAGAGGACGAUCAGCCACACUGGGAUUGAGAACGGCCCAGACUCCUACGGGGGGCAGCAGUGAGGAAUUUUCCGCAAUGGAGGCAACUCUGACGGAGCAACGCCGCGUGCAGGAGGAAGGUUUUCGGAUCGUAAACUGUCUUUCUUUGGGACGAGGAAGGACGGUACCAGAGGAAUCGAGCCCCGGCUCCGACUACGUGCCAGCCAGCCGC